rnacentral:rRNA from 1 species
AACGUAGGUGGCGAGCGUUAUCCGGAUUUACUGGGCGUAAAGGGUGUGCAGGCGGGCUGUUAAGUGGUGUAUGAAAUAUCCCGGCUCAACCGGGAGAGGUUAUGCCAGACUGGCAGUCUAGAGAGCGAGAGAGGGACGUGGAAUUCCGGGUGUAGUGGUGAAAUGCGUAGAGAUCCGGAAGAACACCGGUGGCGAAGGCGGCGUCCUGGACCAACACUGACACUGAUGAGCGAAAGCCAGGGGAGCAAACGGG